AUUUCAAAUCUGCAUCUAAUUCAAGUACGACAUCCAUUUAUUUUCUUAAUACUUUUAUUCCCCUGAACUGUGUUUUCAUGGUGGGCAGCCGUUGUUGCAAGCACAGUGCUGAAAUAAGGCACUUAUUGGCCGCAACUCCAGGGAUUUUAACCGGAUAUCUGCCUUUGUUUAAAGUAAGUAAAUCAGGAUGUUUCCUAAACACCAUAAGGACAGAAGUUUAGACUUCUACUGAUUCAGCUUUUUGACCUGAAGCCAGCAAUGUUUCAGUCAAGGACAUUCCCUGGAUGUAUCCAAGGAGUCUGAAAAUCCCUUUCAUCAGGUCCAGGAGCUCUGUGACUCACCCUUUCAGGGAUGCUCCCUUUGGAGGGGAUGCCUACUAUAAAGUAAUCACUUGAAGACAAACCUGUAGUCACUCAAAAUUGAGUCAGAUACAUCCCACUCUUCAAAUGCAUUUUUCUGAUACAAGUCUAUAUUUAUAUCCUUAGGGACAUACUCACCCAUACUCCCUGAUGAAUACAAACCUGCAGCCAUGACGGGAUAUGGCUUUAGACUUGGUUUUCGACAGAGCUUUGACACAGGUUUUGACACAGAAAGGGCUCAUGGCGGUUGUGUUCCUGAGUACCUAUUCCUAUAGAAAUGUUUUACCUCCAGCUUUUAUGAGAUGAGGAGUUUCCAAAGUGCUCAGAACAGAACAUGACAGUCUUCAGCUCUAUUUCUUACACUGAUGUCUUUCUGGAAGCCCACAAGUUAAGGAUACAACUUCCAUAAGCAAGAGCAAAUGGCAAGAUGGACAAAUCUUCCAAGCAGAUCCAUGGCUUUUGAAGACUGGAGAAUCCCAAAAGCCUUCAAAGGAUCUGUGCGUCCUGGGAAUUGUGUUUUUAUUUUCUUCUGAAGAAGCAAACCAUGGUUUCCCAGAUGUAGCCCAUGGGCUCCCAAAUGAACUUGGAAAGUACCAGAAUACACAAAGGAAACAGGCUGCUGCAAAUAUUGAUUGCUGCAAAGAGGGAGGAUACAAUAGUGAUGGCAGAGUGGACUCAGAGUUCACCAGAUCUGAAUCUCCAGCAUCACCCAGUAAGGGAGAGGCACAUAGCAGAUACAUGCUAAAAAUGAAAGCAGAGCAUCUGCAGGGGCCAUGCUGCCACCAGACAACUGGAAGAAAGCACAGAUGGGAAUGGAUGCAAGCCACUCAUCAAAGAAACCUGUGAGGGAACAUUUUAUGGGGUUUAAGUGACUCCAAGGAUGUGCAAAGAGCAGCUCAAGCUAGACAGGGAUGACCAAGAAAUUGACUUAAGCGGAUGAUGGUGAGGGAAACAUCUAAAUUCAGAGUCUUCAAAGUCUUGUAAGUGGGUAAGCAGAAGUGAUGGACACAAAAGGGAAUUAUUCAUUUUUCAGCUUGUUGCCACUACCAGCCUCCAGUGUCUUCAGAGCUAAAACUAAGUGACUGCAGUUCAGCUGGGUAAACACAAGCCAAACCAGAAACCAUCUUGAUCGUGAAAAUAUCACUAUUAGCUGCCCACCUGCAACCAGUUUGAUGCUGAAGCCUAUGCUGUGAGAGUUUAAAACCUGCUGGCUCCCAAGGACAUGUCUGCAUGGAUGCAGCCACACUCCCAGCUGCUUGAGCAACCUGUCUGGUCCUGUUCACCAUAUACACCUUGACGUGGACACGGCCACCCAGGUGCAGAUUUGGGAGCUUCCCCAGCACUGAUGGCCCUUGAGCAAACACGCUUUCAAGGGCAAAUGUGGUAUCUUUUCUUUCACCUCUUUAAUCUUAUCUGUGCUGCCUAAACCUGGUCUAACAGGCCAUCCAAGGGACAGUGAUUGCCUCAGGGAUGGACAUGCAACUGGAGAGAGACUGCCAAGUAUGCAGAUGGUUGUUAUCUGCAACAGCAUUGCUGUGCAACAGGCUGAGCCAGGACUCUCCAGCCAUCUCCUAAAGAAGAGCAUGCCCCAAAAGCAUGGGGUUUCUGUCCUUCAGCCUUUUGAAUUUGUUCUCUGCAGAGGCUGCCUUUGAUCAGAGCAUCACCAAAGCCUUGCCAGAUUAAAUUCCACCAAGAGGAUCCUCAGCUGUGGUAAAUCAGCACGGCUCCCUCAGGGUGGAUGGAGUUAUGGCGUAACCCCCCUGCAGAGGAUCCAGCCGUCUUUCAUCCAGCUCGAGCAUUAGUGAUAAAUGCAGCUAGUUUCAAAUGCCUUUGUCCGUCUUGCUGG
rnacentral:lncRNA from 14 species